GAGAUUUAGGUUAGCUAUUAGGAAAAACUUCCUAACUAUAAGGGAAAUUAAGCUCAGGAAUAGGCUUCCAAGGGAGGUUGUAGGAGUUUUUAAGAACAGGUUGGACAAAUACCUCUCCGGUAUGGCCUAGGUUUACUUGCUCCUGCCUCUGCCCAGGGGGCUGGAUAAGAUGACCUCUUGAGGUCCCUUCCAGCCCUACACUUCUGUGAUUCUAUGUGUGGCUUCAGGACUACAGUUGGCGUGUUCUGUUUGGUAACAGUGCAGACCAGUUCCACUUAAAGCUGGUUGUCCUAACAGCUGAUGAGAGCAUCUGGUGCAGGAGCAGAUUACUAGUCAGGUGUAUGUGGCCAUACCUUUGAUCUCCUGGGACGAGGGCAGGGUGGGGACAAGUGACGUGGUAGAACUGAUGCUAUAGCCCUGGAUUUUUAUUAGGUAAAGAAAAUUGUUUAACUACAAGCUGUUCCCUUAAAGAUGUUUAGGUUGGGGAGAAGAGGGUUGGUUUACAUUGCUGUGCCUUUCAGAGUCAGGUUUUUUGUUUGUUUGUUUUUUUAAACUGGAGUAAGUGGUAGAAAUAGUGGAACGUAAUCUUGCAAGAGAACCCCCCUGGUUCUGCUUCUGGGGGGCUCAGGAAGCCGAUACAAUGGCUGGCUUUCCAAAGUGGGUUAUGAUGACACCAUCCUACAGGGCAGAAGGGCUCAUCCGCUAUUGACUGUUUUCAGUUGACAUUUUACUUUCAAACCAAAGAGCAAAUGUGGCCAAAGCCUCUAUGGGGUAAAACGUGUUAAACUCUGUAUCUGUGUUGCACUUCCUUUCUCUUCCGUUCUGACGUUUAUAGAGAGACACGGCUGGGGUAUCCGUAGCCCCACACCCUGGCUUCAAAACAUACGCCUGCGUCUGCUCAUGGUACCUAGCAGUCCCGGCCAGCUGUAACUCAGCCUUGAUAAAAUAUUGUUCACCGACGAGUUUAGCUUCCCUGAGCGCGGGAAGCCAGGCGCAAUAGCUCAAUAGCUGUCAGAUGUUAUUGGCUAGAUGGGGGUAUGUCUUGCGUGUGGCUGUUUCUCUAGAAGAUCAGAAGAAUAGGAAUGAAAAGACGGAACUUUUGGAAACUCAUAGAAAGGUGGGAUGGUGGGGGUGGCGGGGGGGGGGGUGCCUACAUUGUACCUCUGCAGCCGGGCGACUGGCUUGCAGACAACAUGUUCAGUUCUUCAUAGCUGUGUAUUUGCCUCCAGGAAGGAGAGAUUCCUUCUUACCCGUCUCUUUCUGUCCUUUGCCCUUUUCCUGUUUCCCUUCUUUCAGCAUAGCCACAGGAGGCCUUGACAUCUUUGUUUUCUCCCUCCCCAUGUCUCUUGUGAGCUGUUCAGCCGUCUUUGGGGAUUAUCCUUUUAUAACCACCUCGGGGUUGCUUUGCACCUCGUAUGUUGGCUUUGCUCUUUGUAAAGGAUGGUACCUUUUUCCCUUUUGCCAUUUUGAUUAUUUUUCUACUAUGGAUUUCUUUAAAAUAAAUACCUUUCGGAGACCAGUGGUAGUUCUCAUUUACUUGAAGACCUCUAAUGGUGGGGAUUUUAAAGGAACCUGAUGGAGAAGGUGCCCAGUUCCAUUGAAUUCCAGUGGGAUUUGAGCAACUAACUCAAUUGCGGUCUACAGAGCCAUUGCCUUGAGUGGCACAGCCAAAGCUAGGAAAGGAUUUACGCAGCCCUGUUCCUCAUUCUCUUUUAGGGUCAGUUCCAUCCUGGGCCUGUCAAUUCAGCCUUGCAUGCGGGGGUGUUGGCAACAAAGUAUGGGGAAAGUGUGUCCCAGUGCUCCUGUGUAGGAAACUGAGGUUGUGGAGCUAAGAGGAGACUGGUCAGCACAGCUGUAAAACAGGUGCCAGCCUGAGGCUAUGUCUACACUACGGCGGGCUCAAUGCUCCGGCGAUGGAUGCACCGGGGUUGAUUUAACGGGUUUAGCGAAGUCCCACUAAAUCGACGGCAGAGCGGUCUCCGAUCGAUCCCGGUACUCCACCAGGAACGAGAGGAGUAAGGUAACUCAACGGGAGAGUGUCUCCCAUUGACCCAGGGCGGUAAGUCAACCUAAGCUACGUCGACACCAGCUACAUUAUUCACAUAGCUGGAGUUGGGCAACUUAGAUCAAUUUACCGCGGUCGUGUAGACAUAGCCUGAGGAGUUGCAGUUUCUCCAAUAAAUUAUGUCCAUUGACGCUGUCAAGGCAAAUCUUGGUAGUAACUUAGUGCAGGGCCCUAAAGGGUUCAUGGGGUAGAAAUGGUCGGGUAGUGGUGUAUCGUGAUGCACACUGACACUGUGAAGAUGGAAUUUAAAAAACUUCAAUCUCUCCUUAAAUGGUUGUUCCUACUACUGCCGGUGGGGCUGUCACGCUGUAGCUCUCAAGGUGGAAGGAUAUCCUGGCUUCACCGUGAUGGGUACAAUCUACUUGUACCUGUGCCCUGGGUACAGUUGUCUGAUCUUGGUCCCAUAUUCAGUGAUUGCGUAGGGGCAUGAUGCGGAGCGAGAGUGUCCCCCUUAGAGCUGGGUGCUAAUGUGUGUGCUCAGCGUUGGGUUGCCAUGUGGCUUCUGGAGGAGUUGGUGCUGAUGAAAGUGAACAAUAAAGGGAAAAACUGGAGGAUGGAUGAGGACAAAAGCGGCGUGUGACAAUGGGUUGGCACAGUCUCCUGGCUCUCCGCUGGAAUAACUUGCCUGCGAGAUGUUUUUGGGGAGGAGAAGAGCACUUUUUUAUUUCCUUCGGGCAUUGCAGUCAACCCAGGACUGCAGCUGGUAACUGGGUGUUAACUAAUGAUGCAAAAACCUUAACCUUGAAUGUUAACUAUUCUUGAUCAAGCUGUGACACGCUGAGUUAACUCGCAGGAAGAUUUCUGUUCCUGUAUAUGCAGACAUCCCAUAGAGAUGCAAUAAGGACAGGCAAGUAUGAAUUUUGGGCUACCACUCCGUCUUGGGUUCUGGCAACUUGAGCGUCUCUUGUGAUUUGGGAUCCACUUCGUUCCUCUAUGGCACGUUCCCUGCUGGCCAUCUUAAAGCACAUUACAGACAUCCAGGAACUGAGCUUCCCAACAUCCCUAGACCUCUGAGAGCGAAUCCGUUUGCCAGAACCCCAAGGUGGAUUUCUAACCCCUAACUCCAGGUGCUUGUCUCUAAAGUUUUAUAUGAUCCAUGGAUCUGAUUUCUUUUCAGGGGCAGUUCUUCGGUGCAGUGGAGCCGGGUCAGUAGCAGAGGGCUUGUUGGCCCACCCACAGUCUCUGAUGGGGUGUCUCCCUCGGGAUCCUAUCCUGUAGCAGUCGCACCUUCAAAACAUUUCUCCCUUCUAAAUGGUCCUGCUUAUAAAUAUACAGCCCUAGAUCUCCAAGCACUAUGACAAAAGAAGGACCCUAGGCACAAGACCGCUGUGCUCGUCAAAACACACUGAGGCAUGGGCAGCAUGAGCUGAAACUUCCUUUGGAACCAGAGCUGUGGCAGCCAUUAUAUUGGUGCCCCUAUAAAGCUCUCGGGGAUGUAGAGUCGGGGUAAGGCUCCUUGCAGGCGAUGAACAUGGCCUUUACAGCAGCGUGAGUGGACUGAGCAACACAAAGUUCUGAGGUAGGUUUUAACUGCACAAUAGAAUUGGUGAACACUGAUUUCUGUACCAAAAGCUCCUUCUAACCCUGCUUGGAGGGGCCUGCCACACAGAAAUAAGUAUUAGUCUCUUAACUCCACUUUUCCAUUUUGUUAAAUGCCCUUGGCAAUGCCUUGUUCAAUGGCAGGUAACAGAAGCCUCCCUGCUACUCUUGGGUCUCAUCAAUGAACAAGAAAGUACUAUGAGAUCUUCCAAGCAACUAGACAGCUGGGGUGUCUGCCUGCUCUCUUCUGGGCCUGAGUCUGCCAUCCGGUCUCUCGCUGAGACGCCCCUACCUCCUGCAGGAAGUGGAACCAAUGUGUAUCUCCUGCCCUUCCCCACGGCCGCCCUUGGAUCCUGUGCGCUUUGGCUGUUGGACCUGACUGUCGGAGGCCAAGUAGAUUCACCUCUGGCUCCACACCCUUUCCUGUUUCCUGCCAUCUAGCGCCAAGGCUGGAGGUAGUGAGAGCGGCUGGGAAGGAAAACAGACACAGCAUUUGAUGAAGCACAACAAAUGGCUUCAAAUGCCUUCACUAGGUAACUAGCUUCUGAGAAAGCUAAGCCUUGGGAGAGAGCGCCAUGGAGCAAAACUGAGCUCAAACUGCCCCCCAGUGCCCGGAGAGAGAACAAGAUCCACACACCCCACAUUCAGGAGAAAUCUGGGCCAAAUAUAUCAAAGAAACAAGUGUAUUUACAAUUUCUAUUACACCUUUUCAUCUCCUGCCACUUCCAAUCCCACUGUUCCUUCUCCCCCUCCUCUCCCUUAUCAACACAGUUCUUCCCCAAAGCCUUUCAGCAAUGAGUCCUGCCCCUCCUGGCAGCUGAUAUCCUUAUCACAAAGGGAUAUUUACCACCAGUUUUCCAAGAAUGUGUCUACAUUAGAGCCCUGAAUCUCAUUUAUGCUAAGAUGGUGUAAAAGGGUUUUAAAGCAAGCAGAAAAACCCUUUAAGCUGCUGGAGAGCUAAAAGUGGCCUUAGUACAAAUGAGAAUUAGGGCUUAGAUAUUUUUUCCCCUUAAAAAUUCCAACUUCUGCCACCAGCGGUUCAUCUUAGUGGAGAACAUCUAUUGUUUGGGGGGGUUUUGUGUGUGAUUUUUUUGGUUGAAAUCUCUGAUUACACACAUUUAACAGACCAGGUAUGUCUGUCAAAUGUUACUAUUCAAAAAAAAUUGAACAGAUGUGCUGUUUUUUGGGGCAAGUGAGUGUACGCUGAGUAUUGAAUAAAUGGUAACAAUA